AGAGUUUGAUCCUGGCUCAGAACGAACGCUGGCGGCAGGCUUAACACAUGCAAGUCGAGCGCAUCCUUCGGGAUGAGCGGCGGACGGGUUAGUAACGCGUGGGAACGUGCCCUUCUCUAAGGAAUAGCCACUGGAAACGGUGAGUAAUACCUUAUACGCCCUUUGGGGGAAAGAUUUAUCGGAGAAGGAUCGGCCCGCGUUAGAUUAGAUAGUUGGUGGGGUAACGGCCUACCAAGUCUACGAUCUAUAGCUGGUUUUAGAGGAUGAUCAGCAACACUGGGACUGAGACACGGCCCAGACUCCUACGGGAGGCAGCAGUGGGGAAUCUUAGACAAUGGGCGAAAGCCUGAUCUAGCCAUGCCGCGUGUGUGAUGAAGGCCCUAGGGUCGUAAAGCACUUUCGCCAGGGAUGAUAAUGACAGUACCUGGUAAAGAAACCCCGGCUAACUCCGUGCCAGCAGCCGCGGUAAUACGGAGGGGGUUAGCGUUGUUCGGAAUUACUGGGCGUAAAGCGUACGUAGGCGGAUUAGAAAGUUGGGGGUGAAAUCCCGGGGCUCAACCCCGGAACUGCCUCCAAAACUACUAGUCUAGAGUUCGAGAGAGGUGAGUGGAAUUCCAAGUGUAGAGGUGAAAUUCGUAGAUAUUUGGAGGAACACCAGUGGCGAAGGCGGCUCACUGGCUCGAUACUGACGCUGAGGUACGAAAGUGUGGGGAGCAAACAGGAUUAGAUACCCUGGUAGUCCACACCGUAAAC
rnacentral:rRNA from 1 species